UUAUUUGAGAGUUUGAUCCUGGCUCAGGAUGAACGCUGGCGGCGUGCCUAACACAUGCAAGUUGAGCGAUUUACUUCGGUAAAGAGCGGCGGACGGGUGAGUAACGCGUGGGUAACCUACCCUGUACACACGGAUAACAUACCGAAAGGUAUGCUAAUACGGGAUAAUAUAUUUGAGAGGCAUCUCUUAAAUAUCAAAGGUGAGCCAGUACAGGAUGGACCCGCGUCUGAUUAGCUAGUUGGUAAGGUAACGGCUUACCAAGGCGACGAUCAGUAGCCGACCUGAGAGGGUGAUCGGCCACAUUGGAACUGAGACACGGUCCAAACUCCUACGGGAGGCAGCAGUGGGGAAUAUUGCACAAUGGGCGAAAGCCUGAUG
rnacentral:rRNA from 1 species